CCAUUAUCAUAACUCCUGGCUUGUCCAAUUUGGAUACUGUUUUGGAAACAACUGAGACUGAAUUUUGCUUAGCUUCUGCCUGAAUUUUCCCAUUGUUUGUAAUUGGCUAGGAGAUUUAGGCCAUAUUCAAAAAAUAUAUUUCUCCACAUAUUUAAUCAAUACAUUCAAUAAUUCAAGGGAGGUGAGUGUUCAGUCAAUCACUUCUUCAAUAUGCGCUUUGGUGAGAGUCAGAUCUGAGCGUGAAUCCCACUCCUAUCACCUAUGAGCUGUGGAUACUGGGCAAGUCAUUUAAUUUUGCUGUACCUCAGUUUCAUCAUCUGGAUAGUACCACACUAAAUAAAAUGAUGAACAUGAACUAAAUGGUGUAUAUAAUAUUCCUAGCUAACAUUUAAGGCUUUAUAAUAUACUGGGUGAUGGGCUAGGACAUCUCUGUCCAAUAGGAAUAUAAUGCAAGCCACAUAUCUAAUUUUUCCCGUAACUACAUUAAAAAAUAAAAAAGAUGAAAUUCAUUUUAGUAAUGUAUUUUAUAUAUUCCACUAUGUCCAAAUAUCAUUUCAACAUAUAAUUGAUAUAGAAGUUAUCAAAGAGCUAUUUUACGUAUUUGCCCUCAUUACUAUCUUCAGCCCAGUAUGUAUGUGUUGCGUACUUAUAGCAUGCUUUGAUUUGAAUGCUAAGUUUUCAAUGGAUAAUGUAAAAAGAAGUCCUGGUCAAUGAGUAAAGUUGUGUUUAAAACCUAUUUUACCCUCCUUCAAGUUAUAAAUUUAAAUGAAAAUAAAAGUUCAGCUUUUUAGUCACACUAGCCACAUUUCAAGGGUCUAAUAGCCACACAUGGCUAGUGGGUAAUGACAUUGGACAUCCCAAGGCUAGAAAGAUGAAACAUAAGGAAGUGUUCAGAGCAUAGUAACUUCAGUCUUCACCUGCUUAGUCUCAUUAAAAACCUUCGCUGCCCACUUGUCUCUGCUCCUGUUUCCUACUCAUGGUUUCUUCUUGACAACCAUCUCGUUCAACCAGAUAUUGGAAGAGAUGGCAAAAAAGGUUGAAUCUGAUGGGAAUAUUGUUGCUCAGGCCAGACUUCCUGCCUUGAGCGUGCUUCCCUGGAGGGCAGAAGCGGGGGACAUUUCAGAUGUGAGCAAGAUCAAAGGUCAUGUGUAGCCUUAUAAUCUUAACUAUAUGCAGAGGCUAUAAUGCAGGUGGGGCCACCAAGGGCCAAAUGAGUCCUGGGAUAAACCAAAGUGAGAAUGUUAUUGAGACUGGUUUUUUUUACUUGGGAGGCCAAGCACAGCUGCGGGGGUGCUGACUGUGAAGCUGGGAGUCCUUGCACUACAAGGCAGAUUUACAGCAGUGCCGUGUCUGCAGCAGCAGUGAAAUAGAUUCAGCUGUUUAAGAGAGCCUUGUCCUGCUCUGUGAAAAAAGAGAGGCACAUAUGUCAAAGGCAUAGUCUCUGUAUCUUCCAUUUAGGAAUAGUCUAGUUGGAGAGAAAAGACCCAAGAAGGGAAAGAUUUUAAUGGCAUAUGAGAUAAAACUGCAUAAUAGCAUUAGAAAAAUGAUAAAAAACUAGAAAACUCUUCAUUACAAAAUUAAUGAUAAUAAUAGCAAAGGAUGUUGGGAGUCCACGUGAAAAGAGAUCACUGUCACUGGGUUCCUCUGAGAACGUGGGUCAGCCUGAGCUGAGUCUUGAAGGAUUUUUUUUCUUUCGUUGAGUAAAAACGCCAAGUCAGAACAAUAUAGGAUUUGUUGGCUAGCAUGGAGAAUUCAGAGGUAAAUUAUUGGAGCCAAAAAUGUGAAUAGGUCUGUUUAAGAUGCUUUUUUUCUCUCGACAAAGGGCAGUCCUUGAAUAUAUGGAGGGUAAGUAACAGUAUAAAAAAUGAUUUUUCAGGAAUGUAGCUGUUGGAAUGACAUACUGGGAUAGGGUUUUAUGGUUUCUUGAGGUGCUCGAAUUUAUUAUUUAUGAAAAUCCUCCUCAAUAACUGUGUGAGAAAGAUAAGCAGGUGUAAUCUUCAUUUUUAGAAAAAGAUACUAAAAAUCAAGCACUUAAACUUGUUGCUCAAAGUCACAUGACUAGUGAGUCGUCACUAGAACUAGAAUCCGGGUAUUGUCUAGGGUUUUUUUUUUUUUUUUUUCCAAUAUCUGUCGGUAUAUGUUUUAGAGAUAGAGUUUCUUAACAAUUGGUGAGGUGUUUCUCGGUGAUUCAGGCACUUUUUGAUCUACUGAGUAGGGCUGUUGAGAGGGAUUGUUGGAUUUGGAUAAUUGCUGGACAAUGUUAUCAAUAUGUGAAUUUGGCUAUCGGUGUUUUCAGUUCUUUCCAUUUUUCAUCCUCUUUGCAUCCCGUCACUAAGCCCAAUUCCUUGAGUCUCAUAACAUAACCAGAAUGGUUAAGACCUCCUACUCCUGGUGCAAAACCCCUACCUUUUGACUGCCCUGUGGCCUUAAAACCUAUCUGGUUUUCGUCUCAUUUUUUUUCCUCUGGAAUUGCCCAGCUAUUUGUAGCAGAGUGCAGUUAACUUAUUUUGUAUUAAUUUCUGCUAAUAUUUUAAUUAAUUUGUUGCUUUCCUUUAUAGAUACUGUUUAGACCCUUCUGCUGAGAAUGAUAGGACUUGAUCAUUUCAGAAAGCCUUGGGGUGUGAGUUGGUAGAAAUAUUUUGAUCCCUAUUUCUGCUCAGAAUGGUCUCCUUUCUUUCCCACGUAUACCCCAGUUGACACCACUUAUGAAUUCUGGCCAAGUGCUAGCCUUUUUUCAGGCUCCAUUCAAGAGGCUUUUCACCCAUUAGUUUCCCAUCUCUAAUUACUCUACCUAUUAGCUUUGACCAGCUGAUAUUCAUCUGGGUUUGAAGCCUAGGUCUUGCCCCAUGUCAAAUUGUUCAAUGAACUUUCCAAGUGGCAGCCGUGCUUGCUCCAGGAGCUUCUCAGUCUGUUUGGUAAUUCAGAGGGCAACUAUCCAACUAUCAAUUCUUAUUACCAAUUUCUAGGGCCAUAUUCAAAGCUGCCAUAUCCUCAUGUGGCCUCAUCUACUACUCUUGAAGUUUUUUUCCUUCUCAUGGGCAAUAUCCUUUAAUAAUAGAUGCAAACAAUCUUCUCAUCCCCCAGUUAGGACUGAUGUUCAUUAUGCUCCAAUUCCACUGCUGUAGAACUGGUAUUUUCUGCUAAAGGCUAAGUUCAUCAAUGUCAAUACUUCUUGACUAGUAAAGUUGGCUACCCACUGAGAUCUUCAGUGGUUUUGCUUUUACUCCAUGUUUACCACUGAAGCUCCCUGUCUGUCCUCUUUUCCUUUGGCCUCAUUCCAUUGGUACGGAUACAAGUAGACACACAAAGUUCUUGCUUUAGGGUUAGAAUUCUAGCAAGCCAGUCAAGAAUAGGUUGACAUCUUGAAGAACAACUUUUUCUAAUUCAGAAGGAGCUGAAUCUUAUUCUGGAUAUAUUUUAUUUGACUCACAAGGCAUUAUUUAUUUAUUUUAAAAAUUAAGCCAACACUGAAGACAUUAGGUGAAUUCAUAUAGCAUUAUAGUUUUUCUGUUUCUCUAAAAGUUUUUAUAUUUGGGAAUUCCUGCUUUGACACAGCAGGUUAAAAAUCUGAAUGCAGUGACUCAGGGCACUGCAGAAGUGCAGGUUUAAUUCCCCAGCCCCGGGGCAGUGGGUUAAAUGAUCUAGUGUUGCUACAGCUGUGGCGUGGGUUGCAGCUGCGGCUUGAAUUCAGUCUCUGGCCUGGGAACUUCCUUAUGCUGCUGGUGUGACCAUAAAAAAAGGCUUUUAUAUUUGGCCUUAUUGGGUUCACAUUUCCACACGGUGACAUUUGACAGGAAUUGAAUAUUAAUUGUCCCCUUUCAUUGAUUUAUCAAAGCUUCUAUUACUCAUAGUCUAUUCAUUGCCAGUUGUAUGCAAUCUAUCUCCUCCAUUAUAAUUUCUGUGACUUCUGUAGGCACUGGAGAUUGUAACUUUUUUUAAAACUAGAACUUUAUUUAUGUAGUAAAAUGAAUAUUUGGAGUUAAAUAGACAGACACCCAAAUCUUGCUUCUGUCCUUUAUAAGCAGGGAGUCCUGGAAAUGAUUUUACCUUUUAUAAUUCAGUUACAGUUCCUAAUACAAUGCCUGGUUCUUAGAAAGUAUUUAUCACUUGACACAUUCUUUUACUACCUUUACUUCAACUACCGCUACUGUUGCUAUGCCCAUCACUACUGUUAUUCUCUACAUUCUGUAGCUCCUCAGUGGAGGAGGGCUACCCUGUAAUCCUCAGUGUGCUGUCUUCCUGGGGGGAGGGGAACACCAGCUUAUGGGCACUUGCUGAGCUCAGCAGAGCUAUUAGCCUGGUCAGCCUUGAACUUAUAGUUAAUUCCUUGUGUUGCUUAGAUGCCUGUCCUCAAAGAUUAAAUGUGGCAUCUUUCAUGUUCGUUCAUAUGAUUGUAGGGAAUCUUGUGCAUAUGAGACUUCUCAGCUCUGAGCAGCUGACCAGGUCCUUUCUGGACUCUUUGAGGUUAGCACAUGUUCAGGCUGAAGAAAUCCUUGGCUCACAUCUAUCCCAGAGCAUGUUGGAGCUGUGGGGAGAACUAAUUUGACUCUGUGUUUUCAAAGGGAAUCCUUGAAAUGGUCAUUUAUAAUUAUUGCUUCUCAGUUUGACAAAGCUUAUCUUUGGUCUUGUAUAAUAAGCAUAUUAUUGCACCUUGCUCCCCUUGCAAGACUUAGGAACUUUUUCCCCAGCUUCUGGGAGUGCUCCUCUCUGAUAGAUCUCUGCUGGGAGUGGUCCUCAGUAAAGAUAGCUGCCUUGUUCCACUGAAGCUCCCCUCGAAAGGGAAACCAAAACUCAAUGUUUGUUCUUUGGGGAGUGCAAAGGCCUUAUUCACUCUCCCCAGCCUGGGGCAACUUCUAAGGGGGCCAUCUUAGCUUCAGGGCUCCCUUGGUUUCAGCUGAGGCCCUUGUUGAGAAUGUCCUACAGCACUUCCUUUCCUCCCCCUCCAGAUGUUAUGAUCCAGAGGGCUCCCUCGCAAACUCCUUGUAGGAGAAACCCUAUCUUAGAGCCUGCAACCCAGGAAACCAGAGCAACAGCAACUGUUUACAAUUAAGGAUCCUAAUGGAACGUGUGGAUUAACCUAGAUUUUGCAUGUUCUGAGUAUACAUGUAACCUAGAGAAUUUUCCAGGUAUUUCCUGGUUGAAAUAGUUCCAUGGUGAUCGUAGGAAGAAGACAGAUUGUGAAUAUAUAUCUGAGAUGACUCAAAUAAAUUGGAGCUAUUGAUGGUUGUUUCUAACUAAACGAGAUUAAUGUAUCUUUUACAGAAUAUCUACAUCUGUGAAAUACUCUGUUUGUUGAAUUUGUGUUGUGUUUAUAAAGUUCUAUUAUUGGCGUGCUCUGGUGGGUUAAGGAUCUGGCAUUGUCACUGCUAUGGCUUGGGUCACUGCUGUGGUGUGUAGUCAGUCCCUGGCCUUAGAACUUCUGCAUGCC
rnacentral:lncRNA from 1 species